UACGUAGGGUGCAAGCGUUGUCCGGAAUUAUUGGGCGUAAAGAGCUCGUAGGCGGUUUGUCGCGUCUGCUGUGAAAACUCGGGGCUUAACCCUGAGCUUGCAGUGGGUACGGGCAGACUAGAGUGCGGUAGGGGAGACUGGAAUUCCUGGUGUAGCGGUGAAAUGCGCAGAGUAUCAGGAGGAACACCGGUGGCGAAGGCGGGUCUCUGGGCCGUAACUGACGCUGAGGAGCGAAAGCUGGGGAGCGAACAGG
rnacentral:rRNA from 1 species